GACGAACGCUGGCGGCGUGCCUAAUACAUGCAAGUAGGACGCAGUUGCGAACGGGUGAGUAACGCGUCGGUAACUGCCUAUUAGAGGGGGAUGACUAUUGGAAACGAUAGCUAAUACCGCAUACUAGUAGAUGGACCUGCGUUGUAUUAUCUAGUAGGUAGGGUAAUGGCCUACCUAGGCAACGAUACAUAGCCGACCUGAGGGGGUGAUCGGCCAAACUGGGACUGAGAAACGGCCCAGACCUCCACGGGAGGCAGAAGUAGGGAAUCGUUGGCAAUGGGGGGAACGCUGACCGAGCAAAGCCGCGUGAGUGAAGAAGGUUUUCGGAUCGUAAAGCUCUGUUGUUAAGGAAGCGGUACUUAACCAGAAAGGGACGGCUAACUACGUGCCAGCAGCCGCGGUAAUAC
rnacentral:rRNA from 1 species